AAAGAUCGCAGCCUGCGGCAGCUCCUACGGGUGUACACCAUUCCCUGUAGGAGCUGCCGCAGGCUGCGAUCUUU
rnacentral:misc_RNA from 1 species